AACGAACGCUGGCGGCAUGCCUAACACAUGCAAGUCGAACGAGACCUUCGGGUCUAGUGGCGCACGGGUGCGUAACGCGUGGGAAUCUGCCCCUUGGUUCGGAAUAACAGUUAGAAAUGACUGCUAAUACCGGAUGAUGACGAAAGUCCAAAGAUUUAUCGCCGAGGGAUGAGCCCGCGUAGGAUUAGCUAGUUGGUGAGGUAAAGGCUCACCAAGGCGACGAUCCUUAGCUGGUCUGAGAGGAUGAUCAGCCACACUGGGACGUGAGACACGGCCCAGACUCCUACGGGAGGCAGCAGUGGGGGAAUAUUGGACAAUGGGCGAAAGCCUGAUCCAGCAAUGCCGCGUGAGUGAUGAAGGCCUUAGGGUCGUAAAGCUCUUUUACCUAGGGAUGAUAAUGACAGUACCUGGAGAAUAAGCUCCGGCUAACUUCGUG
rnacentral:rRNA from 1 species